rnacentral:rRNA from 1 species
AACGAACGCUGGCGGCAUGCCUAAUACAUGCAAGUCGAACGAGAUCUUCGGAUCUAGUGGCGCACGGGUGCGUAACGCGUGGGAAUCUGCCCUUGGGUUCGGAAUAACAGCGGGAAACUGCUGCUAAUACCGGAUGAUGACGUAAGUCCAAAGAUUUAUCGCCCAGGGAUGAGCCCGCGUAGGAUUAGGUAGUUGGUGGGGUAAAGGCCUACCAAGCCUACGAUCCUUAGCUGGUCUGAGAGGAUGAUCAGCCACACUGGGACUGAGACACGGCCCAGACUCCUACGGGAGGCAGCAGUAGGGAAUAUUGGACAAUGGGGGCAACCCUGAUCCAGCAAUGCCGCGUGAGUGAUGAAGGCCUUAGGGUUGUAAAGCUCUUUUACCCGGGAUGAUAAUGACAGUACCAGGAGAAUAAGCCCCGGCUAACUCCGUGCCAGCCGCCGCGGUAA